AUUAAACUUCCUCUGUCUAUUUUUUAUUUGUAUUUUAUUUAACCUAUAUUUAACUAGGCAAGUCAGUUAAGAACAAAUUCGUAUUUACAAUGACGGCCUACCAAAAGGCAAAAGGCCUUUUGCAGGGAUGGGGGCUGGGAUUCAAAAUAAAAAAUAAAUAAAAUAAAAAUAUAGGACUAUUUGGUAUGUACUGAUAGGGGGCCAACUGGAGUUAGUUAUAUCUUUCACAUUGAGGCCCUCAAGGUCGGCAUUUUCUAUUCAGUCCUCCCUAUUCUAGCCACUCAGCAUUGUGGAGGUUAUUUGAUCUGCCGGGGGACAGACACAGAUACUACCUGGCUGGGAGGCCACAUCACUGAUUCGUGGGGCAUUGUCUUGGUACAAACACAGUCCAACAGUUGUCUGUCCACAUUUAGCCAUGCCCCAUAAUUCUCUUUUUCUUGCCAGGAAUUGCCUGACUAAUGAAUUGGACUGCUGUCUGAGUUUGAUUCCAAUUCAUCCCCUUUUUUGCACUGUUUGCAAAAUGUAUGACGUAACUUACGCGAUUGUGGCGAUUGAUUUGUGUAGUUGUUUGCAACCAGAAAAGGCAGUGAAAAUGAUCCACUUCUCCUCUCACAUUUUAAUUACGACCAAGGCUUUGUUUGAAAACGCUGCCUGACAACUCCGUAGCUGAACUAUCUGUAGAUAUUCACCCGGCAGUUAACAUGGUGACACAUCCUGAAAGAGAGAGAGACUCUGGACUCUGGAGCAGACACACCUGAGAGGCAUUAUUCAAUGCAUGGUUGUUAUUUACAUAGACAUGUCACUGGAGAGUUGGUUGUGAUUGAUAAUGGAGAGGUGCCAGGGGGAAAGGCACAAAGCAUCUGGUAUAUGGUUGAGUGGUGAGGUCGCUGGGGACCAUUUAGAGUCUAAAAUGGGAGUCCGGUUUGGGCGAACUCGACUGACCUUGCUUAAGUCCAGAGAACCGGUGAGAUCGCAUAUUUAAAGUGUUUAAGGUGUGGUAUCAGUCGUCUAGUUGAAAUAUAGAGAGUGAACACAUGGGAACCAUGAUGAAGGCCAGUGUUUUAUUGAAUUGCAUGUUUUAUGAUUGGUGUAUUUUGACUGGUUUUGACUGAGGCAGAGCAUAAGGCCUGUUUCAGGGACUUGUUUCUGAAGACCAUUCUUCACAAAGCCAUUUGGAAAAACCUGCAACCCAGGAUGCCAUGGAUAAAAGGGUCCAGAUUCAGGUCAACCUUUAGCUGAAAGAGGCCUCCGAUUGUGAAGGUGGGAGAAGGCCGUGCACAGGGGAGAGGGAUCCGCUGCAGUGAGAGUCAGCAUCAAGUCUCGGACCACCUAUCUCAAAACCAGCCUCUACUCCCAAGCCACAAGACUGAUCCAACAGCUGAACCCUGGGCUGACUCCUGCACCUUACCACACACUUACCAUUUAGUCAUAUUCUGUACACAUAAAUCACUUUAGUCUACCGGACCAAUGAAGUAGUUAUGUCAACUGCACUAUGUAGAUAUACUAUUAUUAUAAUUCUAUGCUGCUACUGCAUUGUAGUUAUUCCACUCUAUGGGCAAAACAUUUCCAUACUAUAUGAAUAUAGGCUAUUUUGGUUUUAUCUUAAGGCUGUUUUUGUUUGAUCUUAUUCUUAUUUAUAUCUUAUAUCUUUUUUUGAUCUGCAUGCUUCUUUUGUACAUGUUUUUAUUGUUUAAUUGUUAGUAGGUCACACAGGAAAGGAAUCAAAUAAGUGACAUUGUACAUUUUACAAUGUCACUUAUUUGAUUCCGUUACAAUGUCACAUUAAUUACUGUGUGAGGAGCCUGUCAAUCAUUUUUUGUUGUUAUUGAUUUUACUGGAUUUAUUUGUCAUCACCUGUUGAUCCAGGGAACCAGGACUAGCCCUCAUUACCUGAUAUAUUUUGCACACACAUAAUCAUUUACAGUACUUGUUAGUACUUAUUGGAAAUCACAAUUCGUUUUUCAAAUGGACAUGGCAUCCAACGUAUCUUAAAUAAUAAAAGUCAAUAAAUAAAUAAGUGGUGAAAGGGAGUAGGCACGCUGCUGUCUUGACGCUGACAAAGCACCUUGCCUCCGACUGUCAGCUGUAGUGUCGCCAGUCGGAAGAAGGACAGGUGAAGGAUGGGGUGGGCUGUGUGAGGAAAACAGCACUUGAACUGCAGGAGCACGGCUGCCGCUUGAGAAAGUGGCAUAUCGCGGGCGCCCCAUGAAUGAGGCGAUUGGCAAAAAAGCUGUCGUACGACCACUCGGGAGGGAUGCCGGCCUCCCGAUUGCUCAUUGUGAACUCGGUAGCAAAGUGCAAAGAAAUGUUAAUUCUGGUCAGGGGGAGUUCCCGCUUGAAUUUGGUUAAAAGGGCAGUGAAUUCGCUCAUACUUUGAGAACUUGUUAGCAAGCUCCUGAGACACAUCAUUUUUCUCUCAGAGAUUAUUAACUGAAGACACAUGUAACUACUUUAAGUCUUAUUUAGUGAUAAUCAUUUACUCUGUGUUAUUCUGUAACGUUUCAUGUAUUUCAUGUACACUGUAAUAGUUUGAGUGUAAAUUAUUUCAUGACUAAUAAAUCCUAUUAGUGAGUGAAUGCA